rnacentral:sRNA from 1 species
CAAUUGCCACUUUGUCAUCAGUGGCUCCUUUAUUAAUAGAAGAAUACAUGUCAUGCCAGGGAAAUGCUCGAGUCCUUGCAUUUCUAGAAUGGUGUGAGAGUGAAGAUCCGUUUUUCAGUCAUGGUAACAGUUUUCAUGGUACAGGUGGCCGAGGCAACAAGUUUGCCCAGAUGCGUUACAGUUUAAGACUCCUGAGAGCCAUGGUCUACCUUGAAGAUGAGACUGUAAACAAAGAUCUUUGUGAAAAGGGAACAAUUCAGCAAAUGAUAGGAAUCUUUAAAAAUAUAAUAAGCAAGCCUAAUGAAAAGGAAGAAGCCAUUGUUUUGGAAAUCCAGUCUGAUAUAUUACUUAUCCUAUCUGGUCUUUGUGAGAAUCACAUUCAAAGGAAGGUAUGUAUGCCUGUGAAAGUUUUGUUCAGGUCUCCCAGUCACCUAACACU